rnacentral:rRNA from 1 species
UGUGCGCAAUUUCAUAAGAGCGCACGGUGGAUGCCUUGACAUUAAAAGACGAUGAAGGACGUGGCAGGGUGCGAUAAGCUUCGGUGAGGUCCCAAGCAACCUAUGACCCGGAGAUUUCCGAAUGGGGUAACCCGGUUCCGAUUUAUCGGAAUCAUCAUACGCUGAAUACAUAGGCGCAUGAAGAAGACCUGGUGAAGUGAAACAUCUCAGUAACCAGAGGAAUAGAAAUCGAAGAGAUUCCCUUAGUAGUGGCGAGCGAAAAGGGAAAAGUUCAAAUCGCAUAAAUGUUUUUGUAAAUACUGGAUGAUCUUCGGAUUAAUCUUGAUUUACAGAAUAAAGGACAGGCCGUUGUUUAUGCGAGGUUGUAAGACAUUAAUGCCGGUUACCUGUAAGACCGGGUGAACAGUUGGUUCUUAGCUAAAUCGUUCUGGAAAGAACAACCAAAGUGGGUAAUAGUCCCGUAGGCGAAAAGAAGCGAUUUGUUCAUAGUUAAUGUUCUUGAGUAGGGCGGAACUCGUGAAAUUCCGUCUGAACCCGGGCCGACUAUGGUCCAAAACUAAAUACUUUUAAUGAUCGAUAGUGGACAAGUACCACGAGGGAAAGGUGAAAAGCAGCCCGGUGAGGGCGAUGAAAUAGUAUCUGAAACCGUGUGUUUACAAAGAGCGGAAGUCUUGGGUAUCGCAAGAUAUCGGACGACCGUGUUCCUAUUGAAGAAUGAGCCUGCGAGUGUGUGUGUGUCGCGUGCUUAAACCCUUCUGGGGUGGAGGCGUAGCGAAAGCGAGUCUUAACGGGCGAUAAGUGGCACGUACACGACCCGAAACCGGGUGAGCUAUUCAUGGCCAGGAUGAGUCCCGCCGAAAGGCGGGAGGAGGUCCGAACCCACCAGCUGUGCAAAACUGGGGGAUGAGCUGUGAAUGGGAGAGAAAUUCUAAUCGAACUCGGUGAUAGCUGGUUCUCCUCGAAAUAGCUCUAGGGCUAGCCUCGAGUGAUCCUAUCGGCGGUAGAGCACUGGAUGAGAUCCGGGUCCUUCGGGAUACCGUUCUCAAUCAAACUCCGAAUGCCGGUAAUUAUAACUCGGGAGUCAGACAGUGACGGCUAAGCGCCAUUGUCAAAAGGGAAACAGCCCAGAUCGCCGUCUAAGGCCCCUAAAUCCAUGUUAAGUGUCAAAGGUGGUUCUAAUUCUUAAACAACCAGGAGGUUAGCUUAGAAGCAGCUAUCCUUUAAAGAAAGCGUAACAGCUCACUGGUCAAGAGUUUUAGCGCCGAAAAUGUACCGGGGCUCAAACAUGGUGCCGAAGACGCGAAUUGUCGGAAGGAACUUUGGUUUUAAAUUUUAAGUGAACAUUUCUCAAAAAAUUUAUUAUAUAAAUUUUUUGCAAAUGAUUAAGUGAAAAGGUGGUGUGGUGGCAGUAACUUAAUUAUAAGAAAGAUGUUUGGCGAAAAAAUUGAAAACAAAGUUUCUUCCGGCAUUGGUAGAGGAGCGUUCCCAAUACGCCGAAGCCGUAGGCGUGAGCCGCGGUGGAGAAUUGGGAAGUGAGAAUGCAGGCAUAAGUAGCAAAAAGGCAGGUGAGAAUCCUGCCCGCCGCAAACCCGAGGUUUCCUGGGCAACGAGAAUCGUCCCAGGGUUAGUCGAUCCUAAGGCGAGGCCGAAAGGCGUAGUCGAUGGAAGAGCAGGUUAAUAUUCCUGCACUUCACACAAUUUGGUUAUCGUUGCACAUUUUCAAGCUUUAAGCGUGUUUUGAAUACACACGUUUCGCAAGAUGAAGACAAAGCCUUCGGGCGGAGUCAACUUAAGGGGAGGAGGUGUCUAGAAAAGGCGAAUAGCCGUUAAGUUGUGUGAAAUCGUACCGUAAACCGACACAGGUGGGUGAGUCGAGUAGACUAAGGCGUACGAGAGAACCUUCGUUAAGGAACUAGGCAAUAUAGCGGCCGUAACUUAGGGAUAAGGCCCGCCCCGCAUCUGCGGGGCUUCAACAAAAGACGCACUGCGACUGUUUAACAAAAACACAGCUCCCUGCAAAAGCGUAAGCUGAAGUAUAGGGGGUGAUGCCUGGCCAGUGUCAGAACGUUAAGGGGAGAGGUGAAAGCCUUGAUCCGAAGCGCUGAUGAACGCCGGCGGUAACUAUAACCGUCCUAAGGUAGCGAAAUUCCUUGUCGGGUGAGUUCCGACCUGCACGAAUGGCAUAACGAUGGUGCGACUGUCUCAACGAAGGACUCGGUGAAAUUGCAAGGGAGGUGAAGAUGCCCCCUACCCGCAACUAGACGAAAAGACCCCGUGAAGCUUUACUAUAACUUGAUAUUGACAUAAGGUUAGGUAUGUUCAGCGUAGGUGGGAGCCUUCGGGCGCCAAUGAGACACCACCCUUACCUAAUUUUAUGCCUAAUUUUCUCCCUUGAAUCAGGGAGAGAAGACAGUGUCUGGUGGGUAGUUUAACUGGGGCGGUUGCCUCCUAAAAUGUAACGGAGGCGUUUACAAAGGUCAGCUUAGCUCGGAUGGAAACCGAGUUGGACGCGCAAACGCACAAGCUGGCUUUACUGCAAGGACUACAAUCCGAGCAGUCGCGAAAGCGGAAGUUAGUGAACCGACCAUCCUAUAUAGGAAGGUGGAAGAUCAACGGAUAAAAGCUACUCCGGGGAUAACAGGCUGAUCGCGCCCAAUAGUCCACAUAGACGGCGCGGNNNNNNNNNNNNNNNNNNNNNNNNNNNNNNNNNCGAGAGGACCGGAGUGUACGAACCUCUAGUGUACCAGUUGUUCCAUCAGGGGCACCGCUGGGUAGCUAUGUUCGGUACGGAUAAAUGCUGAAAGCAUAUAAGCGUGAAGCCGUCUUCAAGAUUAACAUUCGUUAUAGACCCCUUAUAGAUUAUGAGGUUGAUAGGCACUAGGUGUAAGUUCCGUUAAGGAAUUGAGCCGAGGUGUACUAAUCGGUUAAGCGCAUGAC